UACGGAGGGUGCGAGCGUUGUCCGGAAUCAUUGGGCGUAAAGGGCGCGUAGGUGGCCCAGUUAGCGUGCGGUGAAAGCUCGGGGCUCAACCCCGAGUCGGCCGUGCGAACUGCUGGGCUCGAGCACUGUAGAGGCAGGCGGAAUUCCGGGUGUAGCGGUGGAAUGCGUAGAGAUCCGGAAGAACACCGGUGGCGAAGGCGGCCUGCUGGGCAGUGGCUGACACUGAGGCGCGACAGCGUGGGGAGCAAACAGG
rnacentral:rRNA from 1 species